GCUACAAGCUAACAACAAAUCUUCAGCAGGAAGUAAAGGAUAAUUAUAGUUUUUUCAUUGUAUUACUAUGGAUGCAAACCUAUUUUCUUCUCUCUCAGGCUGAUUGAUAUAAUUCUGUUGUUUGUCAGGGUGCUGCUUUUGGCCUACUGGCCAGUCUAGUGGUCAGUCUUUAUGUAGGUAUUGACCCGGUCAUCAAUCCUGCACCUAAGUUUAGCCUGCCACUCAGAACAGAUGGCUGUCCACUGAUAAAUGCAACAGUUUUGAAUGUUACCAAUGUCUAUAACAAUACUACUACAAUAGCCAAUCAAGUUGUCUAUAACAGUACCACUACGAUAGCCAAUCAAGUAUCAUUUCAGAGUGACAGGCUCUACCUAUCUUACAUUCAUUAUGCUACUCUAGCACUCAUUGUGUCCUUCACAGUUGGCAUCAUUGUGUCUUUAAUAACAUGUUGUAACAAAGGCAAAAUUAUUGAUGAAAGAACUUAUUACCAUUACAG
rnacentral:sRNA from 1 species